UACGAGGGGGGCAAGCGUUGUUCGGAAUUAUUGGGCGUAAAGGGCGCGUAGGCGGUGCGGUAAGUCUGAUGUGAAAUCUCCGGGCUCAACUCGGAGUCUGCAUCAGAAACUGCCGUGCUUGAGUGUGGGAGAGGUGAGUGGAAUUCCUGGUGUAGCGGUGAAAUGCGUAGAUAUCAGGAGGAACACCUGUGGCGAAAGCGGCUCACUGGACCACAACUGACGCUGAUGCACGAAAGCUAGGGGAGCAAACAGG
rnacentral:rRNA from 1 species